AUGAAAAAUCAAAAUGUAUGAGAACAUACCUGUAAGUAAAGGCUUCCUUGCUAGGUUAUAUUAUCUCUUCCUGGAUUACUGUGCCACCUACUACUACCUGACACCCCCCCUGAUCCGAUAAGUUCUGCCGACUAUAUGUAGCUUAUCCACUGCUUUUGGCCACGGUUUUCUACCGCCGGCCGGCUAUGAUCUCAUCCACAUUAAUG
rnacentral:lncRNA from 1 species